rnacentral:tRNA from 1 species
GGGGCUAUAGCUCAGAUGGUAGAGCGCUUGCAUGGCAUGCAAGAGGUCAGCGGUUCGAUCCCGCUUAGCUCCA